rnacentral:rRNA from 1 species
UAGGGGUAAUUUAAUUAUUUAUAAUUAAUAAAAGAAAUUUUUAUCUGAUUAUAUUUUAAUGGGGGUUAAAGUAUAAAAAGAAAAAAUUUGAAAUUUUAUAGGGGAAUAGUAUUGAUAAAGAACAUUGAAAUAAUUGAAAAUUAAUUAGAGGUUAAGUAGAUUUAAUUUAUUGUAUCUUGAGUAUCAGAGUUUAUUUAAAAUAUUUUUUAUUUAAAAAUUUUUCGAAUUUAAAAGAGUUAAUUAAUUAAAAAUUUUAUUGUUUCAUAAAUAUUUAUAAUAAUUAAUUUGAAAUGAAAUGUUAAUCGUUUUUAAAUAUAUCUAAUUUUUUUAGAAAUAAAUUUAAUUUUGAAUUUUUUUUUUAUUUUUAUAUAAUAAAUUUUAUAAUAAAUAAUAAAAAUUUUAAUAUUUUAAGGGAUAAUCUUUAAAUUAAAUUUUUAUAAUAAUAAUAAUAUUUUAAUAAUAAAAUUUUUAAAAUUUGUAUUGUUUAUAAAUUGUAUUUUUUUAUAAAAAUUUUUAUUAAUAAUAAAAUUUUUAAUUAAAAUUUAAAUUUUUAUAAAAAAAUAAUUUUUAAUGAAUAAAAAUUAGUUAUAAUGAUAAAAUUAGUAUAUAUAUAUAUGUAAUAAAAUUAAUUAAAUUAUAUUUUAAAAUUAAAAAUAAAAAUUAAUAAAAAGGAAUUCGGCAAAAAAAAUAUUCACCUGUUUAUCAAAAACAUGUCUUUUUGAUAAUGAUUUAAGGUUGAAUCUGCCCACUGAUUUAAAAUUAAAGGGCUGCAGUAUAUUGACUGUACAAAGGUAGCAUAAUAAUUAGUCUUUUAAUUGAAGACUUGUAUGAAAGAUUUGAUGAGAUAUUAGCUGUCUCUUUAUUAUAAUUAGAAUUUAAUUUUUUAGUAAAAAAGCUAAAAUUUUUUUAAAAGACGAGAAGACCCUAUAGAGUUUUAUAAUUAAAUUAAUAAAUAAUAUAUACAUGUUAUAUAAAUAUAUAUAUUAUAUAUAUAUAAAUUUUUAAAAAUAAUUAAAUUAAUUAUUUUAUUGGGGUGAUAGAAAAAUUAAUUAAACUUUUUUUAAAAUUAAACAUUAAUUUAUGAUUAAAUGAUCCAUAAUUUUUGAUUAAAAGAAAAAAUUACCUUAGGGAUAACAGCGUAAUUUUUUUUUUUAGUUCUUAUAAGAAAAAAAGUUUGCGACCUCGAUGUUGGAUUAAGAUAAAAUUUAAAUGUAGAAGUUUAAAAUUUUUGAUCUGUUCGAUCAUUAAAAUCUUACAUGAUCUGAGUUCAAACCGGUGUAAGCCAGGUUGGUUUCUAUCUUUAAAAAAAUAAAAUAUUUUA